rnacentral:rRNA from 1 species
GACGAACCGUGCGAACGUUGUUCGGAAUCACUGGGCUUAAAGGGCGCGUAGGCGGUCGGGCAAGUCCGGGGUGAAAUCCUGCAGCUCAACUGUAGAAGUGCCUUGGAUACUGCCCGGCUCGAGGGAGGUAGGGGUCUGUGGAACUUCUGGUGGAGCGGUGAAAUGCGUUGAUAUCAGAAGGAACGCCGGUGGCGAAAGCGACAGACUGGACCUCUUCUAACGCUGAGGCGCGAAAGCUAGGGGAGCAAACGGGAUUAGAUACCCCGGUAGUCCUAGCCCUAAACGAUGAGCACUAGAUUGUAGACUAGUCAUGGGUUUACAGUCGAAGCAAAAGUGUUAAGUGCUCCGCCUGGGGAGUAUGGUCGCAAGGCUGAA